AGCCAUGAAAAGGGGUAAUUCACAGGUACUACCAAGGAUCAACCUCAGCCAGGAGAGGGUUUCUGAGAGAAGGGGUGUCUGGGAGCAACAAAACAAAUGACUCAAAGUCAAAUCUUGGGUUACAAUCUGACAGCCUGUGUUCUGCUUAGAAUGGCUCUCUGCAUGUUAACAUUCAUGCAGACAGUGGAAAUCUGUCUUUUCUAAAUCUCUGGUUUUCCCAUGUUGAUGCUCCAAAGAAUUUAGUAAUUUGGAUCUAUGAAGCCAAGAGCAUCCCCAGUGCUAAAUGUGUUGCUCAAUUCUUCCCUACUGGGAAGGGUUAUGAGUGAUUCAUGUUUGUAUAGCUUGUGAUUGCUGUGUGGCCAUGUCACUGGUUUAUUCUCAGGCUUGUCUUAGAAACUGUGUGCAUUCCUUUAAAUGUUGUUGUUGCUAGAGCAUCUUACAUAGGUGGUUUUCUUAACUCUUUAAUCAUCACCAAGAAAGCUUUUACAUGUAAGCCCUACAAUGACAACAUCCUUGAUGAGAUUUAAUGUGACUUGCUUCCCCUGCUGAAGCUGGCUUGUGGUAGCAGAAAUACCAGAAAGAUACCAGGCUACAAUGUACUUGAUCUUGGCUUUGGAUAUGAACAUAUCUACUUCCCUCUUCUUGGCUUCCUACCUCUUCAUCAUUGUUACUACAAGAAGUAUAACU
rnacentral:lncRNA from 1 species